AUUUAAAUAGUUUAAAAGAAAAUAUUGAUUUGUGGUGUCAAUGAUAUGAAAAUUCAUUUUAGAUC
rnacentral:tRNA from 1 species